AUCAGACUCCAAGGAGAGGCCAACAGAUGAGGGAGCCAUUUUUCUGCAAUGGAAUUAAAUGGCCAAGUGGGUUUUUCCUUUGUUGCAAAUGGGGAAUGCUUUUCCUUUGACUCCACCAUCCAGUUCAGGACGCCUGAAUGUGUUUAACAUUUGCCAAAGGACUCACACUUGGAAGAAUGAAGACCUUUUAAAAAGAUCUGGAUUUUUCCUUAUGACUUGGAAUCCAUCUUUGUCUUGUAUAACUAGGUCAUAGCACACUAUUAAUGUCAGCAGUUAACAGUUUUGAAUUCAAAAAAACCUAAAGCACUAAACAGCCCUCAGCGAAGCCGCCUUUUUGCCAGCCCAACCCUGGAAAGUUUGCAGUCGUGGAAGGAGCAGAAAUACCACGAGUGUAACUUACAAAGAAGGUAACAAAGGGACACCAGAACCCCAGGUUUCCCCCCAACUAAACAACCAAACAUCCCCCACCUCCCAAAAAAAGACCUGUUAUUUUUAUAAUAUCUCCAAAAGCGCCGGCCAGCUUUUUCUUCUAGACGCCAUGGCGCCGGGCUGAGUGGGUAAGUAAAAAACUAGACUAAAAAAAUUUGUUUUCAAGUGUCUUUUUCCCCCUUCGAGGAACUCUCGAUUGAGCAGGCCAUGGGCUGCAGAUGAUUGGGAGCUGGGAUUUCUUGAGCUUGAGCUUGGCAGCCGAUUGCAGUGGGUGGGUGAGGGGACUAGGGCUCUCCAGACCCCUCUGCCUCUUUUGCACCCAAAGGCGAAGAGAGCCUGUCCCCAGUACCCUGGGGCAUCCAUGGAGCCGCCUGCGCUAGUCCCUUUGGCUCGCCUCAGGUUUGCACCUUAGUGGCAGAGAAGAAAUCGAAGUGUUUUGGAGAUGGAGGGGCUGAAAAAAGCGAGGAAACCUUCCCACCCAUCUUAAAGUCUCGUUCCUGAUUGAUUGUGGGGGUUUCUGUCCCCCGGAAGCCAGCUUUUCGGGGCUCCGGGGCUCGCCUGCUCUUCCAAAGAGAAAAAGGACAAAAGGCCGGCGUCCAUGUUGGCAUCAUGACGCAGCAUCUCUCUCCCGCCUGCAGCCUGGCGCUGCUUGUCCUCCGGGCCGCGCUCGCUCCUCCCUCUCAAACACGAGUUUUAUUUUCAGGUUUUUGAGCCGAGCCGAGGGCUGGGUCGGGUUGGAGCCAAGGCUGAAGCCGCCGGGCCAUUCAAUACUGCUCUCUGGCUAAUGGCGGCCGGCUUUCCUCCUUCCUUCCGCCAUCCUGCUUUUCCCUGGUUGUCGCUGGGAGCCGAGAGGCAGCCCCGGGCCCUAACAGCCUGCCAGGUCUUGGCCGGAGACCGGAGCCAUGUCUGUGUUAUCCCCACUGUAGACAAUCCUUGCUUCCUCUGGACAUCUGGAGCAGGCCCAAUUUGACUGAGAGCCUUCCCCCACUAAGUUACAGAUCCAGCCCCACCAUCACCACCAGAGUUGAGUCCAAAUCCAACACUCUAGGCCGGGUAGUGCUGGGACUUUGCCAGCCUCCUGCUGAGAAGUGAAUUCUCCCCUUGGCAAACUGCAGCCAGCCAGCCUCCUGGGUCGAGAGCCAAGCCAAAAGAUGUCUGAGAGAAGAAACCUGGGGUCCUGCAAAGGUAAGUGGGUCCCAGCCCACUCUCAAUCCCCCUCUCUCUGUGUGAUUGCUAUUCCACACUGGAGUCACCUGCUCUGUGCUUCUGAGGAACCUCACCUCUGGCACAUCAAUGGAAAUUGUCCUUCCCUUUUUAUUUAUUUUUAUUUAUUUUUUAUUUUUUGCCACCCUCACUGGCCACUAAGAGAUAGCCCUAGCUCCUCCUCUCCUGCCUGGUUUUGACAGGACUCACUCCAUUGAGUCCUGUCUCGUCUCUUUGCAGCCCUCCUCCUCCCCCCCCCCCCCCUUCAGCCAGCACUUAGGCCCUCCCUGAUUUAGCCCGUUACCUUGACAACCACUUGGGCCUGUCUCCCUCAUCACCACUGAAAACCUGAAGGUGGUUUUCCAGCUGCGGUACAUUUGCCCAAGUUGGGCACCCCUCCAGCUUCUAUUGGCUCGCCCUCUAUACAGCUGUACCCAAUAUAACAAACACAACCUUCCUGGCCCCUCAGCUGUAGUCUCGAAAUUGAUCUCACUGGUCCCGGGAACUCCGUCAAUACUGCCUCCUCUAGACUGAGCUCCUCACAGGCAGGAACAUGGUUGUUUCUCAAUAAACAAGUUGCAAAAAAA
rnacentral:lncRNA from 1 species